rnacentral:rRNA from 1 species
GACGAACGCUGGCGGCGUGCUUAACACAUGCAAGUCGAACGGAAAGGCCCUGCUUUUGUGGGGUGCUCGAGUGGCGAACGGGUGAGUAACACGUGAGUAACCUGCCCUUGACUUUGGGAUAACUUCAGGAAACUGGGGCUAAUACCGGAUAGGAGCUCCUGCUGCAUGGUGGGGGUUGGAAAGUUUCGGCGGUUGGGGAUGGACUCGCGGCUUAUCAGCUUGUUGGUGGGGUAGUGGCUUACCAAGGCUUUGACGGGUAGCCGGCCUGAGAGGGUGACCGGCCACAUUGGGACUGAGGUACGGCCCAGACUCGUACGGGAGGCAGCAGUGGGGAGUAUUGCACAAUGGGCGGAAGCAUGAUGCAGCAGCGCCGCGUGCGGAAUGACGGCCUGCGGGUUGUAAACCGCUUUCGCCUGUGACGAAGCGUGAGUGACGGUAAUGGGUAAAGAAGCACCGGCUAACUACGUG